rnacentral:lncRNA from 1 species
UUUAUUUCUCCCUCAGAUUUCAGAUGAACUCAGAAGGCCAGGGAACAGAGGUCAGCUCUAUCUCCAGAUGCUAUGCUUAGCACAAUCACUUCUUUCCUUAUUGCCGCAGAAAGUGACUCCCCACAGGCCUAUGCUUAUUUGUCGUAAAUAUCUGGAGUUAUCCCAUACCCAUUUUUUCUAUGCUGAGGAAAAAGAAACAUUCAAACAAAUCCACCUGCUUACGGAGAUGUAUGUUACAAUCUGUUUUGGCCAGAUGGUCAUUUGUUGGAAAAUUCUGUUGGUACUGUGUGGAAGAACACAGGGCAGAAAGACAUAAAAUUGAUUUGUUGAGUGGCUGUGGUGGCCCAGGCACAAAGAUGUGUUUGGAGGACAGAACAGAACAAGAUCUAUGUGGUCCCUGCCCUCAGAGAACUCCCAGACCAGCUAGAAAACAAGAUGAUUCAAGGACUAAGGAAUUGUGGUAAAUAACACCUGGGCUUCACUCAUUCCACAGAGAUCUAAGCAAAAAGGAAACUAUUUUGGAAGAGGAUUCAAAUCACAUGAAGUGUUUAUGAAGUGGCAGUGUCGCACAUGAUACCUUCUGUAUAAGAGGGUUGGCAAAUUGAUUCCUGCUUUAGAUAGUUCAUCACCAAACAGAUAGUGAAACAAGACAAAUUUUAAAUGAUGUAUAGACCAGGCACGAUGGCUCACACCUGUAAUCCCAGCACUUUGGGAAGCCAAGGUUGGCAGAUGACUUGAGGUCAGGAGUUCAAGACCAGCCUGGGCAACAAGGUGAAAUCCCGUGUCUACUAAAAAUACAAAAAUUAUCUGGGCGUGGUGGUGGGUGCCUAUAAUCCCAGCUUCUAGGGAGGCUGAGGCAGAGUUGCUUGCUUGAACCCGGGAACUGGAAGUUGCAGUGGGCCGAGAUUUCGCCAUUGCACUCUAGGCUGGGCAGCAGAGCAAGUCUCCAUCUCGAAAAACACUUUUUUAAUUAAAAAAAUUAAAAAUGAUGUAUAUACCACUAUUACAUGAAUGAUGCAACAGCAUUAUUCACAAUAGCCAAAAGGUAAAAGCAAUGUAAGUGUCCAUGGGUGGAUGACUGGAUAAACAAAAUGUGGUAUUUAUGUGCAAAGGAAUAUCAUUCAACCUUCAAAAGGAAGGACAUUCUGACACAUGCUACAGUACGGAUGAACCUGGAGGCCAUCAUGCUCAGUGAAAUAAGCCAGUCACGGAAGGACAAAUACUGUCCGAUUCCAGUUAUAUGAGGUACCUAAAGUAGUUAAAGUUAUAGAGAGAAAAAGUAGAAUGGUGAUCACCAGGGCCUGUGGGGGAGGGAGGAAAGGGGAGUUAGUGUUUAAUGGGUACAGUGUCAGUUUGGGAAGAGGAAAAAGCCCCAGGAGUGGAUGGUGGUGAGGGUAUCAGCAAAGUGAAUGUACAUUGAGCUGUACACUUAAAGAUGGUUACAAUGGUCAACAGUAUGUUACAUGUAUGUUACCACAGGUUUUUUAAAUUUAAAAAUAUUCUUUUUAAAAAGGCAGUCAUUGCCAUUCCUAGUGUUGUCCACUCUGAAAUAUUCAAAAUUAUUUCAAACCAACGC